CUUUGUCGAUGUAGAACAGGACACUUGUGUUAAUGAUGCCAUACAAACACAUAAUUUUACUAGAUGCUAUCAGAACGUAAGCAACAUUUAUUCGACAUCAAAAACAUGCGACGUAUACACUGCAAAUCAAAAUUGCUUCGAAGAGAUUGUUAAACCAGCUUGUGGAGAGGAAAAGGCUAUGUUCUAUGUGAGAAACGCGGCUUUGAUUUUCAAAGGAAUUCCAUCAGAUUGUGGUGUGUCUUCGGCAGUUCGAAUCAAAAGUACACACCUGGCAUGGCUACUGUUUCUGCUGGCAUAUAUUUCUUUGUUGAGAUCAUUUUAAAAACGCACAUGUUCAUAUAUCAUGUCACUUUUGAAAUAAGUUUAAAGUAAUAUGCAGACGUAUAUAAGGACUGUUUACUAGAUUGUGUUGUUUUUAUAAAACAAUUUAAAGUACUAUGCAAACAUUAAUCAGGACUGUUCAUUAGAUUGUGUUACUUAUGUAAACAUUUUAAUGUGAUAUGUUGAUAUAUAUCAGGACUAUGAGCUAAAUUGUUUUACCGAAGUUAAACACUUUGAAGUGAUAUGUAGACAUAUAUCAGGACUAUGAGCUAAAUUGUUUUACCGAAGUUAAACACUUUGAAGUGAUAUGUAGACAUAUAUCAGGACGGUGAACUAGACUGUGUUCCUUCUGUAAAACAAUUUAAAGUGAUAUGCAGACAUGUAUUUUGACUGUUAACUAGACUGUGUUACUUCUGUAAAAUAAUGGAAAGUGGUAUGUUGGGCGGGUAGCAUUAACGAACCAUUAAAUUCUUUCUAAUUAUCAUUAAAAUAUUAUUGUUAACAUUUAAUUUACAUACAAAAUUAAGACUAACCUACACUUUCUCUUUCUGAUGAUCUACAAUAAUUAUUGUAAAUGUCCCAAUUUCUCUCACAUAAUUUUCGUAUGCCAGAAUAUUAUAUAAAAUCGCCGUAGAAUAUGAUAGUACUUUUGAUUCUCUAUUUAGGAAAGUUUUAAUAAAUCUACAGAUAUGUUUCGUUGUAAACUGUAGACCAUAGGUUACUUGUAAAAAAAUAACCAGAAGAAUAAAAUCAGUAUAAAACGCAA
rnacentral:lncRNA from 1 species